rnacentral:lncRNA from 1 species
UGCUGAUGUUUCCAGGAUUGCUAAGGGAAAGCCACACACGAUAGUUGCAUUUGCAGUUUUAAGUGGUCUAGCUCCUCUGUGACAGUUCAGCUCAGAGGCCAACCACUAGAGACCCGGGAAGAGUGAUUCGUUUGCCCAGUGCUUUCUCUGUCCAGCCUGAGGAACUGCCCUUUUGUCCAGGACUUCCCAGGCCAGAUGCAUAUACAAGGAAUGGCGAUUCCGUGAGUCCGGUGCUUCUGUGGACUCGAAAACCUGCAGAAGAAUGACGGUUCCCUGCGCAGGAGCUAAGCAGCAGUUAGUCAUUCUCUCCUUGCGGAGGACCUACUGUGUGUCCCGGGCUGCAAGUGGACAAACGACCAAAUGCCCUGGCCUCACGAAGCUGCUCCCCCAAUUCCCUGUGACUCGAUGCCGCGUCUGCUCCUCCAGGAUAUCUCUGUGGCCGAGCCUGGCACACAGUAGGUGCCCGGGAAAUGUGCUCAGGGAAAUGACGCCUAGGCGCACCCCAUAUUGGAUCUGUGGCGGGGGACGAGUGGGGACGAGGGGUGAAGGGGAGAAAGUCAGGAGUUGUGGGUUUGGGGGUAGC